rnacentral:lncRNA from 1 species
CCCACUCUCAAGACCACCGGCUCCAUCUCCUCUCUAGAGUUUUUAUUUUUUAUUUUUUUAUUUCCCUUUUUUUUCCUCCCCCCAACUCCCACACAAGACAGUGGCCGACCCCAAUUUUUUUCACUGCCACAUGCACCCCUCAUUUCCUUCCUUCCAUUUCUUUUUUUCCUUUUCCAUUUUUUCAUCUUAUUUUCUUUAUUUUUUAUUUUUUU